rnacentral:rRNA from 1 species
GGAGACUGCCGGUGAUAAACCGGAGGAAGGUGGGGACGACGUCAAGUCAUCAUGGCCCUUACGAAGUAGGGCUACACACGUGCUACAAUGGCGCAUACAGAGGGCGGCCAACUUGCCAAAAGUGGAGCGAUCCCAAAAAAGUAGCGUCGUAGUCCGGAUUGGUAGUCUUGACAACUCGACUCCAUGAAGUCGGAAUCCGCUAGUAAUCGUGGAUCAGAAUGCCACGGUGAAUACGUUCCCG